AUUGGACGCUGGCGGCAUGCCUUACACAUGCAAGUCGAACGGCAGCACGGGGCAACCUGGUGGCGAGUGGCGAACGGGUGAGUAAUGCAUCGGAACGUGCCAUUGAGUGGGGGAUAACGUAGCGAAAGUUGCGCUAAUACCGCAUAUUCUGUGAGCAGGAAAGCAGGGGACCGCAAGGCCUUUGCGCUCUUUGAGCGGCCGAUGUCAGAUUAGCUAGUUGGUGAGGUAACGGCUUACCAAGGCGACGAUCUGUAGCGGGUCUGAGAGGAUGAUCCGUCACACUGGAACUGAGACACGGUCCAGACUCCUACGGGAGGCAGCAGUGGGGAAUUUUUGGACAAUGGGCGCAAGCCUGAUCCAGCCAUGCCGCGUGAGUGAAGAAGGCCUUC
rnacentral:rRNA from 1 species